GGGGUUGUGACUUAGUGGUAGAGUGCUUGCUCAGCACAUAUGAGGCACUGGGUUCAAGCCCCAGCACCACA
rnacentral:tRNA from 1 species